rnacentral:rRNA from 1 species
GAUGAACGCUGGCGGCGUGCCUAAUACAUGCAAGUAGAACGCUGAAGGAGGAGCUUGCUCUUCUGGAUGAGUUGCGAACGGGUGAGUAACGCGUAGGUAACCUGCCUGGUAGCGGGGGAUAACUAUUGGAAACGAUAGCUAAUACCGCAUGACAACAGUUAUUGCAUGAUAACUGUUUAAAAGGGGCAACUGCUCCACUACCAGAUGGACCUGCGUUGUAUUAGCUAGUUGGUGAGGUAACGGCUCACCAAGGCGACGAUACAUAGCCGACCUGAGAGGGGGAUCGGCCACACUGGGACUGUGACACGGCCCAGACUCCUACGGGAGGCAGCAGUAGUGAAUCUUCGGCAAUGGACGGAAGUCUGACCGAGCAACGCCGCGUGAGUGAAGAAGGUUGUCGGAUCGUAAAGCUCUGUUGUAAGAGAAGAACGAGUGUGAGAGUGGAAAGUUCACACUGUGACGGUAUCUUACCAGAAAGGGACGGCUAACUACGUG